GCCAGGUAAGGUGGUGCACACCUGUAAUCCCAGCUACUCAGGAGGCUGAGUCAGGAGGAUCACAAAUUUGAAGUUAGUGAACAAUUAGAACCUGUCUCCA
rnacentral:sRNA from 1 species